rnacentral:tRNA from 1 species
UUUAAUGUGGCAGAAAAGUGCCAUGGAGUUAAGUCCCAUUUAUGAAGAAUAGCCUUCCAUUAAAA